UGAGCUGAGCUGUUUUAAUCCCACCUGAACAAGCUUAUCAACGUCUUCUAUAGUAGUGGGAAAUAUUUUUGAGCUAAACUCUUGUUGGCUCUACAGGUGAAGGAUUGGACACACUUGGGCGGUGGAUCGAAGCACACCACAGUGGGCCAACAGACCUUCUACAGCAGCUCAAGUCCUCUCAGUUGCAUUUUCACCAAGCAAAUUGGGAAUUUAUGGCACUCACCAGCCUCUGAAAACAGAUGGUAGCACACGAGUGAAGGACUUCAAGGACUAGCUGUAGACAGGUCCAAACCUGAGUGUCCACAGAAGCUCCGCUGGGCUGCCGUGAGGAUGCUUGCGUUGACUGGGCCACACUGCUCUUUCUGUCUGAGAGUUUGAUUGCCGGUCAGUGUUUUUAAGACAUCUCCCUCCUGCACUCUCAAACUCAGCAUGUCAUGAGGAGCCAGUGAGAAAAAAAUUCUGAAAAAUAGGAGAACGGAGGGAGGAGUGUGGAUGCAUGCAAGAGGGUGGGGUGAAAAUGAAAACAACAAAAAGGACAAAGUGAAAAGAAACCUUGCAAAAUCAAGGCCAGAGCAGCUGGAUGAAGGGAAGUGCUGGAUAGAGUGAAAACAGCAGUGCCAGAUAAAAGUAUUGAAUCGCUUCUCAUCUCGCCGUUGCUGAUGAUUCCAGCAAAAGAUUAGCAUUUUAAGAUCACAAAUAUUUCAGCUAAGAUUACAUAGCUA